rnacentral:tRNA from 1 species
ACUUAAAUAGUUUAAUUAGAACACUAAUUUGUGGAAUUGGGAGUAUAUUUGUUUAUAUUUUAGGUA